AAGUUACUUCUGUUGGAAGGAAAAGACCCCAUGCACAUAUUAAUACAAAGCUAUUGGCCGGGAAAGUACCAGGGAAAUCUCCAAGCCAGUUUGCUGUUGAAAUAAUGGAGUUGGUCAUUGUGAAAUUCACCAUCAAAAACUUAGAAGAGGAUUGUGCAAACAAGAUAUGGGGAACAACUUGCUAAAUUGUUAAGAGAUUCAGCGAAUUGCAAGGUACAACAUCCACUUUCACAAGGCACAGUGGCUCUGUAUUACUCAGCCUUGAGAGCGGAAAGAUAGCUACCGGGCUCUGAUUCAAAAACCCAUAUUGUGUUCCGGUUGCCAUGGUUACCAGGGCCUGAAAUUCAAAAUCCUCAAGAACAAACAGCUAAUC